GAUGAUUGCCUUCGUGAACCACAA
rnacentral:siRNA from 1 species